rnacentral:rRNA from 1 species
GAGUUUGAUCUUGGCUCAGGAUGAACGCUGGCGGCGUGCUUAACACAUGCAAGUCGAACGAAGCAUAAAGAACGGAUUAUUUCGGUAAGAAGUUUUUAUGACUGAGUGGCGGACGGGUGAGUAACGCGUGGAUAACCUGCCUCAUACAGGGGGAUAACAGUUAGAAAUGGCUGCUAAUACCGCAUAAGCGCACAGUGCUGCAUGGCACCGUGUGAAAAGCUCCGGCGGUAUGAGAUGGAUCCGCGUUUGAUUAGCUGGUUGGCGGGGUAACGGCCCACCAAGGCAACGAUCAAUAGCCGACCUGAGAGGGUGACCGGCACAUUGGGACUGAGACACGGCCCAAACUCCUACGGGAGCAGCAGUGGGAAUAUUGCACAAUGGGGGAAACCCUGAUGCAGCGACGCCG